rnacentral:rRNA from 1 species
GAUGAACGCUGGCGGCGUGCCUUAAGCAUGCAAGUCGAACGAUUCGCUUCGGCGGAAGAGUGGCAGACGGGUGAGUAACGCGUAGGAAUCUACCCUUUGAUGGGGAAUAGCCCUCCGAAAGGAGGAGUAAUACCGCAUAAUCUCUAUGGAGAAAAGGCCGUAACUGGCCGUCGAAGGAGGAGCCUGCGUCCUAUCAGCUAGUUGGUGAGGUAACGGCCCACCAAGGCUACGACGGGUAGGGGGCGUGAGAGCGCGACCCCCCACAAGGUCACUGAGACACGGGACCUACACCUACGGGUGGCAGCAACUGGGAAUCUUGCGCAAUGGACGAAAGUCUGACGCAGCGACGCCGCGUGUGGGAAGAAGGGCUUCGGGUUGUAAACCACUGUGGAGAGGGAAUAAGUUCUGAAGGUACCUCUCUAGAAAGCACCUGCUAACUACGUGCCAGAAGCCUCGGUAAUACGUAGGGUGCAAGCGUUAUCCGGAUUUAUUGGGCGUAAAGCGUACCGUAGGCGGUUUGGCAAGUAUGUGGUCAAAGCCUGGGGCUCAACUCCAGAAAGGCUGCAUAAACUGCCAUGACUAGUGGAUUGGAGAGGUUGUCGGAAUUCUCGGUGGAGGGGUGAAAUCCGUUGAUAUCGAGAGGAACACCAAUGGCGAAGGCAGGCAACUGGCCAAUUCCAGACGCUGAUGGACGAAAGCUAGGGUAGCGAAAGGGAUUAGAGACCCCUGUAGUCCUAGCCGUAAACGAUGGAUACUAGCUGGUUGGAGUAAUCUGGCUAAGCCUAUAGCUAACGCGUUAA